CUUAUUUAUCUCAUCACGAACGUAGGGCAGGAGGUGGGUGGGUCACUCUUCUUAUUCCCGUCUUUCACAUCAUCGCCGUCGUUAUAUUUCAUAUCGCACUAUCGUAUUAUGAUAAGUAUUAGAUAUAGUACUAUUAUGAACGAUCGUAGAAAAAAAAAUGGGUUUGGAAAAAAAGUAUUUAUAAAAACGUAGGUAAUACUUACGGAUAAUCCAUUAGUACCUACUUAACUACAUACGC